GACGAACGCUGGCGGCGCGCCUAACACAUGCAAGUCGAACGAGCGAGAGAGAGUUUACUUUUUCGAGCGAGUGGCGAACGGGUGAGUAACGCGUGAGGAACCUGCCUCAAAGAGGGGGACAACAGUUGGAAACGACUGCUAAUACCGCAUAAGCCCACGGCUCGGCAUCGAGCAGAGGGAAAAGGAGCAAUCCGCUUUGAGAUGGCCUCGCGUCCGAUUAGCUGGUUGGUGAGGUAACGGCCCACCAAGGCGACGAUCGGUAGCCGGACUGAGAGGUUGAACGGCCACAUUGGGACUGAGACACGGCCCAGACUCCUACGGGAGGCAGCAGUGGGGAAUAUUGCACAAUGGGGGAAACCCUGAUGCAGCGACGCCGCGUGGAGGAAGAAGGUCUUCGGAUUGUAAACUCCUGUUGUUGAGGAAGAUAAUGACGGUACUCAACAAGGAAGUGACGGCUAACUACGUG
rnacentral:rRNA from 1 species